rnacentral:rRNA from 1 species
CAGUCGCCACGGGAAUACAGAGGGUGCAAGCGUUAAUCGGAAUUACUGGGCGUAAAGCGCGCGUAGGUGGUUUGUUAAGUUGGAUGUGAAAUCCCCGGGCUCAACCUGGGAACUUCAUCCAAAACUGGCAAGCUAGAGUAUGGUAGAGGGUGGUGGAAUUUCCUGUGUAGCGGUGAAAUGCGUAGAUAUAGGAAGGAACACCAGUGGCGAAGGCGACCACCUGGACUGAUACUGACACUGAGGUGCGAAAGCGUGGGGAGCAAACAGGAUUAGAUACCCCUGUAGUCCCUGUCUCUUAUAC